GGUGAGUAACACGUGGGUGAUCUGCCCUGCACUUCGGGAUAAGCUUGGGAAACUGGGUCUAAUACCGGAUAGGAACCAUCUUUAGUGUGGUGGUUGGAAAGUUUUUUCGGUGUAGGAUGAGCUCGCGGCCUAUCAGCUUGUUGGUGGGGUAAUGGCCUACCAAGGCGGCGACGGGUAGCCGGCCUGAGAGGGUGUACGGCCACAUUGGGACUGAGAUACGGCCCAG
rnacentral:rRNA from 1 species